rnacentral:rRNA from 1 species
GCUAAUACCGCAUAAUGUCUUCGGACCAAAGAGGGGGACCUUCGGGCCUCUCGCGCUAAGAUUAGCCCAGGUGAGAUUAGCUAGUUGGUGAGGUAAGAGCUCACCAAGGCGACGAUCUCUAGCUGGUCUGAGAGGAUGAUCAGCCACACUGGAACUGAGACACGGUCCAGACUCCUACGGGAGGCAGCAGUGGGGAAUAUUGCACAAUGGGCGAAAGCCUGAUGCAGCCAUGCCGCGUGUAUGAAGAAGGCCUUCGGGUUGUAAAGUACUUUCAGUAGGGAGGAAGGCGUUGUCGUUAAUAGCGGCUUCGUUUGACGUUACCUACAGAAGAGGCACCGGCUAACUCCGUGCCAGCAGCCGCGGUAAUACGGAGGGUGCGAGCGUUAAUCGGAAUUACUGGGCGUAAAGCGCAUGCAGGUGGUUCAUUAAGUCAGAUGUGAAAGCCCGGGGCUCAACCUCGGAACCGCAUUUGAAACUGGUGAACUAGAGUGCUGUAGAGGGGGGUAGAAUUUCAGGUGUAGCGGUGAAAUGCGUAGAGAUCUGAAGGAAUACCAGUGGCGAAGGCGGCCCCCUGGA